rnacentral:rRNA from 1 species
UACGUAGGGAGCGAGCGUUGUCCGGAAUUACUGGGUGUAAAGGGAGCGUAGGCGGGCGAGAAAGUUGAAUGUUAAAUCUACCGGCUUAACUGGUAGCUGCGUUCAAAACUUCUCGUCUUGAGUGAAGUAGAGGCAGGCGGAAUUCCUAGUGUAGCGGUGAAAUGCGUAGAUAUUAGGAGGAACACCAGUGGCGAAGGCGGCCUGCUGGGCUUUAACUGACGCUGAGGCUCGAAAGCGUGGGGAGCAAACAGG